AACGAACGCUGGCGGCAGGCCUAACACAUGCAAGUCGAGCGAGGACUUCGGUUCUAGCGGCGGACGGGUGAGUAACGCGUGGGAAUGUGCCCUUCUCUACGGAAUAGCCCUGGGAAACUGGGAGUAAUACCGUAUACGCCCUAUUGGGGAAAGAUUUAUCGGAGAAGGAUCAGCCCGCGUUGGAUUAGGUAGUUGGUGGGGUAAUGGCCUACCAAGCCGACGAUCCAUAGCUGGUUUGAGAGGAUGAUCAGCCACACUGGGACUGAGACACGGCCCAGACUCCUACGGGAGGCAGCAGUGGGGAAUCUUAGACAAUGGGGGCAACCCUGAUCUAGCCAUGCCGCGUGAGUGAUGAAGGCCUUAGGGUUGUAAAGCUCUUUCAGCUGGGAAGAUAAUGACGGUACCAGCAGAAGAAUCCCCGGCUAACUCCGUG
rnacentral:rRNA from 1 species